rnacentral:rRNA from 1 species
GACGAACGCUGGCGGCGUGCUUAACACAUGCAAGUCGAGCGGAAAGGCCCUUCGGGGUACUCGAGCGGCGAACGGGUGAGUAACACGUGAGUAACCUGCCCCAGACUUUGGGAUAACCCUCGGAAACGGGGGCUAAUACCGGAUACGACACAGCUUCGCAUGGGGUCUGUGUGGAAAGUUUUUCGGUUUGGGAUGGGCUCGCGGCCUAUCAGCUUGUUGGUGGGGUGAUGGCCUACCAAGGCGACGACGGGUAGCCGGCCUGAGAGGGCGACCGGCCACACUGGGACUGAGACACGGCCCAGACUCCUACGGGAGGCAGCAGUGGGGAAUAUUGCACAAUGGGCGGAAGCCUGAUGCAGCGACGCCGCGUGAGGGAUGACGGCCUUCGGGUUGUAAACCUCUUUCAGCAGGGACGAAGCGUAAGUGACGGUACCUGCAGAAGAAGCGCCGACCAACUACGUG